GAACAAAUGGAAAAGAAAUGUAGUCUAGAUUGUCAACAAUAGAUCGAUUGAUGUUUAAUAGAAAUCCGAAAUCCAAUCGAAACAACAGCUGUAGCCUUUUUCUCCUGACGCUUUACAUCAACAUAGAAGAAACGGUCGAAAUAAAAUUAGCUGUCACGCAUUGCUGUUCGGACAAGGCAGCUGACAGCUUAAAAUGUAUUUUACGCUGUUAUUACUUACAGUCAACACUAGUUAUCAAUAUAUUCAUAACAUGUCACAGGAGUUGGUCAAGAUGCCAUAUUUUCUCAUGUCUUUUCGAUAAAAGAUUGGCAUAGAUUGCAGGAACCUGAUGUUUUGGUUUAUGGUUCUCGUGGGGGCUAAUAGUUUGAACAUGGUGAUAUGUCUUUCAAAGACUGACAGUGUGG